AGUAAUGCAUAGGAAUUUGCCUUGAAGUGGGGGAUAGCCCGGAGAAAUCCGGAUUAAUACCGCAUAUGUUCUACGGAACAAAGUGGGCCUCUGAUUUAAGCUCAUGCUUUGAGAUAAGCCUAUGUCGGAUUAGCUAGUUGGUAGGGUAAAAGCCUACCAAGGCGACGAUCCGUAGCUGGUUUGAGAGGAUGAUCAGCCACACUGGGACUGAGACACGGCCCAG
rnacentral:rRNA from 1 species